UUAGGAUUCUUAAACUCCUUUGCUACAUCACAGAGGGUAUCGCCACCGGAGAAGCUCGCGAAGAAGAUUUCACCUCUGUGACAAACCUCCUCGCCGACCCAAGAUCAAGGGCUUGAUUUUAUAUCAAAAGGACUAGAUACACUGAAAAAUUUGGCCCAUGAUAUGAGCGAGGAACUGGACAACCAAGUGCCAUUAGUCGAUGAAAUAGAUACAAAGGUAGACAAGGCAACAUCUGAUAUUAAAAAUAUCAAUGUUAGGCUAAAGCAAACUCUUAAUCAGGUGAGAUCCAGUCAUAAUUUCUGUAUUGACAUCAUUCUCCUAUGUAUAAUUCUGGGAAUCGUUUCUUACUUGUACAAUAUACUGAGAUGAUUCUAAUAUGAUCUUUCCUCAACUGCAAAUAAUCGUCAUGUUCAUGGUAAUAUUUUCCUUUAUUGAUUUAGGGCUUGCUUUCCUUAUACCAUUUUAAGAUCUUCAUAUUAACAUCUAUAAUCAAUUGUCCUCUGGAGGGAAAACUAGAUCAGCCAUUUUAGGUUGGCUGUUGAAUAACAUCUCAAGUAAUGUGUCUCUUUGUUAUAAAGUAUAAUCUGGGGCUGCACAACUACUUCUGAAAUAUUCUUUGCAAUAUUAAGUUAUUUGUCCUUUCAUAUUGGUACCAAAAAAAAAUCUUGUAUUUGUGACUUAAAUAGUGUGUGGUGUACUAUUUAAUUAAGCUAUUACUUAUUGAUGCUCU